UGCAAGUCGAGCGGUAGAGAGAAGCUUGCUUCUCUUGAGAGCGGCGGACGGGUGAGUAAUGCCUAGGAAUCUGCCUGGUAGUGGGGGAUAACGUUCGGAAACGGACGCUAAUACCGCAUACGUCCUACGGGAGAAAGCAGGGGACCUUCGGGCCUUGCGCUAUCAGAUGAGCCUAGGUCGGAUUAGCUAGUUGGUGGGGUAAUGGCUCACCAAGGCGACGAUCCGUAACUGGUCUGAGAGGAUGAUCAGUCACACUGGAACUGAGACACGGUCCAGACUCCUACGGGAGGCAGCAGUGGGGAAUAUUGGACAAUGGGCGAAAGCCUGAUCCAGCCAUGCCGCGUGUGUGAAGAAGGUCUUCGGAUUGUAAAGCACUUUAAGUUGGGAGGAAGGGCCAUUACCUAAUACGUGAUGGUUUUGACGUUACCGACAGAAUAAGCACCGGCUAACUCUGUGCCAGCAGCCGCGGUAAUACAGAGGGUGCAAGCGUUAAUCGGAAUUACUGGGCGUAAAGCGCGCGUAGGUGGUUUGUUAAGUUGGAUGUGAAAUCCCCGGGCUCAACCUGGGAACUGCAUUCAAAACUGACUGACUAGAGUAUGGUAGAGGGUGGUGGAAUUUCCUGUGUAGCGGUGAAAUGCGUA
rnacentral:rRNA from 1 species